CUGUUAGGCGCGACGUGUCUACGGCCUACUCCACCCGACCCACCCCAGCCUAACCCGCCUCCUACCGCCGGAGGCAGUCGUCGCGGGCGAGCGAGCGACGGCGUCAGCCGGAGCGAGGGAGUGCGCGUCGCCGUGACUGGCCGCCGAUGGAUCCACCCGUGCCCUGCCCCUGCCUCCCGGAACUGGCCCCAACCCACUGCUCGCCUCCAUCCCGCGCGCCGGCCGUCGACUUCCUCCCUCGCGCCGGCCGCCAACUCCCUCCCGCACGCCACCACCGUCCCCCGCGCCGGUCGCCGCCUCUCUCUCGUGCGCCGCCGCCGUUCCCCUUUGCCUCUUCGCGCCGCCUCCCCCUCUGCCCUGGCGCCUGACUCUCACGCCGCCGCGCUACGCCCAACCUCCCGCGUGACCAGCAGUGUCACCACCCCUGAGCUCCACCGUCCAGACCCCGAGCUCGAUAGGCUGCUCGACCGUGUCGACGAGGGGGAUCCUCCUGGUGGCUGCUGCUCCUCGGCGUCCACGGGCUAGGAGGAGCCCCAGGUCAGCACUCACCAGCGCUCCCUCAGUAGCUCGAUAUAAAUCGAGAGGCAGCGAUAGCAGAUAGGGGAAGCAGAGCAGAGCAGAAGCAGAAGCAGGCAAGAGGCGAGCAGGAAGCAAGAAAGGUGGAGAUGGCGCCCAUCAAGCUAUAUGGGAUGAUGCUGUUCGGACAACGUGACCCGCGUGGCCACGAUGCUCAACGAGCUGGGCCUCGACUUCGACUUCGUCGACAUCGACCUCCGCACCGGCAUCGACCUCCGCACCGGCACCCACAAGCACCCCGACUUCCUCAAGCUCAACCCUUGGUAUACGCGCAUCAGUCUCGGUAGCAGUAGGAUUUACUCGCACCGGGUCACCGACCGGAUGUAUCUUGUUCUUCUGUUCACCCGAGCUCGACAGGCUGCUCGAUCGUGUCGACGAGCGGGAUCCUCCUGGCGGCUGCUGCUCCUCGGCGUCCAUGAGCUGGGCUCCUCGAAUCCCGUCGUCGCCCUCCACGAGCGGGUUCCUCCCGGCGGCCACUGCUCGUCCACGAGUGGUGCUGCCUCUUAUCCUGUCGACGGCGUCCACGAGCAGCGCUAGGAGAGAUUCCAUACGCGCUGCACAGCCAUCCAAGUUGAGCACACACAACAGUCCAAGGUGAUGCAUGAUCCCCAUGCCUUCUCCCCUGGACGCCCCUCCAUUGUUUGUUGAAAUGCCUACAAGAAUUAUAACUACUAUUUUUCCAUCUUUCCCUUCUUUUUUAAACUGAAGCUAAACUCAGGUAAAAGAAUUGCAUUGUAUUUUGUGCUUGUGAAAUGCUCAAAUGUUCGUUUGCUGCUGUUCAUAUUCGCAUGUGAAAAAAAGUUCAUGUAAAUUACGUGGCUAGUGUAGUUCAGAAAAAAGUGUGGAGAUGAAGCAAAUCUAAAGCUCACUUUCAGGAACUUUGCUUGCAACACCUAGAAAGUUCAAAAUUUGUGGCACGUUCAGUACAAAAAAUGUGGAGAUGAAGUAAAUUUGAAACUUUGCAGGGGCUGGGGGUACUUCACUACUAAAUGAACAUUCAACUUAUGGACAUAUAUACUCAGUUAUUAUUGUAUAACAUAGAGUUACCUUGGACGUUCAUGCUUCUUCUCUGGUGUAUAUUCAAUUCAACAUAUGGUGGUUCUUCAGGUAGCCUUGGCGUGCAUUUUCAGUUCAUCUUGCAGGUGAAGGAGCUCCCCUUCAGUUUAUCUUGCAGGUGUGUUUGGGCAGUACAAACACAUCACCAUAGUUUGUACAGAUUAUCUCUGGAUCCAAAGAAAGAAAGAAAUCUCCAGCCAACUUGCCUUGAAACUAAUCAAGCCCUAUUUUUUGUUGUCACCGAGCAACAAGAAAACAGCCCCCAGGCCGUUCACAGCCGCCACCGAGGCCGUUCAACUAGGGGUCCUUCAACAACGCAGCAGUCAGAAGCUUUUCUCUCGUUUUCUCCCGCCUCUGUAAUUUCUUUUUGAUUUUGGGGACUGAGUGAGUGCAGUUCACCGAGGCAUUCCAUGUGCUAAUGGGCUAUGCUUGCUUAGCACAAAUUCAUGAACUGUCAAUUUUUUUAAUUGAACUGAUGCUACUCUUGAUUCAGAUCUGAGGGAAGAAGACAAAACUAAGUGAUUCAGUUCAUCAUUGGCAUCCUUGUGAACAGUUCUGAAGAUAGCUUUCAGAGACUAAUUAGGGUGGUUCAAUGUGUCGAGCGGUGGCAGCGCUUGCUCCCAAUGGUUGCUCGCGCAAGGAGGAUACAGGGAUGCUACAUUGCAGGAGGAGCAGUAGCAUGUAGUAGCUAGCUGAAGAAAAGUAUCCGCACAGCCAGUGGCCUGCUCUAGCCAUGCCGCACCACCACUGGCAUAUCCAGCAUGGUUGCUGGUAGCCGGCCAAGUUGAGUGCUGAUGGGAGUCCUUUGCGUGCUUCAACGACACUCUCUCAUAUCAAUCUCUCUCUUUCUUUGCUCCUGCUAUUAAAAUGCGUAGAUGUGCUGCUUUGCCAAUUGAGUAGUUGGGAAGAUGUGAAAAGAACAUGCUCUCUAGGUGUAUGACUAUUCCUGUGAGCACCAAUGUAUUUAAAUGUUUAUUUUGUGCUUCAGCUUAUGUUUUUGGGCAGUACAAAUACAUCUUCAAAAAUAAGUACAGAUGCGGUCUUAUAGAACUCUAAUAGUUGUUGGAUGCUAUUCCAAAUGCCAAUGAUCAUGCAAAACGGUUAUUGCUAGAAUCUAGAUGAUUUGUAAUGUAGUUACCAUAGUUUCACCCUAUUUUUAUGGUUCUAAUUAUUGUUGCAUAAGUCUUUAAAAUAAUGUUCGGUAAAUGUUUGUGAUCAUUGUUUUAGGUAUUCAUAUGAACUUUAAAAUAAUGGCUUUUCUUGUAGGAGGUUCAAAGAUUGUCGUGGAGCAAGUUCAAGAGAUUAGUUUGGUGAAAAUAAUGUGAUCUUUUGGUCAGGAUUUUGGAUGAUCCAUAGCCAUCAGACAAGCAGUUCAAGGCCUACUACGCAAGUCAUCCAUCGUCUUCUACGCAUGAGCUUCUUGUCUCUACACAUCUAGCACCGGAGUAUCCCCUCCCCUUGCCGCACACACAUGCCCGCGGUCGAGCUAGUGUUGUUUGUGAUUGCUGGUCGUGACUCUUACGUUGUCCUGUUGUUUGUGAUUGCUGGUCGUGACUCUUACGUUGUCAUUGGACAAAUAAUUUGUUCUGAAACUCUGUACUGACGGGACCUUCAACAUAUAUGGUGUUUAGAAUUUUUUAUGUAA